rnacentral:rRNA from 1 species
UACGGAGGGGGCUAGCGUUGUUCGGAAUUACUGGGCGUAAAGCGCGCGUAGGCGGACCGGAAAGUCAGAGGUGAAAUCCCAGGGCUCAACCUUGGAACUGCCUUUGAAACUCCUGGUCUUGAGGUCGAGAGAGGUGAGUGGAAUUCCGAGUGUAGAGGUGAAAUUCGUAGAUAUUCGGAGGAACACCAGUGGCGAAGGCGGCUCACUGGCUCGAUACUGACACUGAGGUGCGAAAGCGUGGGGAGCAAACAGG